GGCAACGUGGCUGAGUGGUUAAAGCGUAUGACUAGAACUCAUGUGAUAAUAUCAUAUCCAAGCUUAUCAUAUCCCUUCGGGGUCACAGGUUCGAGUCCUGUCGUUGUCG
rnacentral:tRNA from 1 species